UACGAAGGGGGCUAGCGUUGCUCGGAAUCACUGGGCGUAAAGGGUGCGUAGGCGGGUCUUUAAGUCAGGGUGAAUCCUGGAGCUCAACUCCAGAACUGCCUUUGAUACUGAGAUCUUGAGUUCGGGAGAGGUGAGUGGAACUGCGAGUGUAGAGGUGAAAUUCGUAGAUAUUCGCAAGAACACCAGUGGCGAAGGCGGCUCACUGGCCCGGUACUGACGCUGAGGUGCGAAAGCG
rnacentral:rRNA from 1 species